rnacentral:rRNA from 1 species
GACGAACGCUGGCGGCGUGCUUAACACAUGCAAGUCGAACGAAGAGCGAUGGAAGCUUGCUUCUAUCAAUCUUAGUGGCGAACGGGUGAGUAACGCGUAAUCAACCUGCCCUUCAGAGGGGGACAACAGUUGGAAACGACUGCUAAUACCGCAUACGAUCCAAUCUCGGCAUCGGGACUGGAUGAAAGGUGGCCUCUAUUUAUAAGCUAUCACUGAAGGAGGGGAUUGCGUCUGAUUAGCUAGUUGGAGGGGUAACGGCCCACCAAGGCGAUGAUCAGUAGCCGGUCUGAGAGGAUGAACGGCCACAUUGGGACUGAGACACGGCCCAGACUCCUACGGGAGGCAGCAGUGGGGAAUCUUCCGCAAUGGACGAAAGUCUGACGGAGCAACGCCGAGUGAGGGAUGACGGCCUUCGGGUUGUAAAGCUCGGUUAAUCGGGACGAAUGGUUCUUGUGCGAAUAGUGCGAGGAUUUGACGGUACCGGAAUAGAAAGCCACGGCUAACUACGUG